AGCCUCUCAAAUACUCUUCUACCAAACGAGGCCUUAUGAGGCCGGCGGAGACAACGACUCCCAUCGGCGGCUGCCUCCCCCACGCGACAUUGAAAUCCCGCCGCCCUCGUCGACGGCGAUUACGCUCACGCCUCACUCUCGCGUAUGUCCAGCAAAAAACGGCGGAAAAAAAAACGAGCGCACACAUGCCUGAUCCAAUCUGCCGCCAUGCCUCCCCACGCACUCCCACGCCGCCGGUGGUACUAUGUCAUCGCGCCCGCGGCGGACCCAAAUUUUCUCUCCUUCUCCUCUGCCAUCGCGUCCGCUCCCCUCCUCAGCCAUCACAUGUGCAGCCGCCUCGUCGUCACGCUCCCUCUUCGACUCCAUCUACUACGAGCUCUGCCAGGUGCUGGACUUUGCAUGAUGAUAGCAUCCAAAGUGGGAAAGAACCAAUUCUGAAUUCAGCAUUGUUCCUGGAAAGUUAUGAGGAGGAAUGGCACAGUUCUUGAGUGGAACUAUCAACGAGCCCAGGCAAGGGGACGGGCUACUUAUCCAAUCCUAAGACUUGUAUAUCAACGACCAAAUGCAUACAGUGGAUGCGCCGAUCGACGAGCGAAGUUGCUAAAUUAAAUUCAGAUGCUGCUUUCGACGCUGACAGCGGUCAAAGCUGGGCUGGCGCGAUUGCUAGAGAUCACAGAGGGCAUGUAUUCUUGUCAGUCUGCAAGGAGUUGCCGCGAUCUACAAGUGUGGAAGAGGCUGAGGGACGUGCCACACUCCCCGGACUGCAUGCACUUGCAGCAGUGUACAGGGGAAAAAUUCAGUUAGAGGUGGACUGCAAGUGGAUAGCAGAUGCACUGAAGAAAAAUGCCCCAAACAGGUAUCUGAAUAAUGCCCUUGCUACGUUCUCUGCUUUCAAGGUGACUCACUCCGCGAGGGGAGGUAACAAGAUGGCACAUGAAUUAGCAGUUGAAGCCAGAGUGCGUGGAGACCAUACCUUCAUAGUAUUGAAUAGAUGAACCGGUUUAUUUAUGAUAUGCGGCCUUUCCUGGUAAGGUUUUUAACUAAUCUUUUAGAGUGUUGUUAUUCACUGCUUCAUCAAUUUGUGUGAUGUAUAAAUAUGAUCUGCCUAAUAGCUCCCCUCGGUUUAUAACAGACAAUAUGCAUGAUAAUAAGAAGUGUGGCACAGACAAUAUGCGAUCAGUAUGUUGGAAAAUAUGUUAUAGAAUCAAUUGGAUUUGGAAACUUGACACUUGGUGCUCUUCAACCUAAGCUCCAAGUAGAUUAAAUUAGCACGCCAAUUCAAAUUUGUAAUGUAUAGCCAUCCCAAACUGCAGUCUUAUUUAAUGUUGGGACUGGACUUACCAACCUUCGGUUAGUCAUACUAUAAUAUUAUUUUCUUUUUUGAGAAUACUAUAAGAUUUAUUUUAAGAAGGUGUUUCGUUAAGAAAUCAACGCCUAAAACCAAUUUCCUCGAGUUUCAAUCUGUGAUAUGCAUUAGAUAUUUCUGUUCCAAUAGAUUUUUUUGUAGGCAUAGAAGGAUUGUUGUACGUCAGUUCCAGACUCUUAUAGCUUCUGUAGAUAUUUAAGAUGUCUGGUCUGAUGAUCUCCCUCUACAUUUCCUUGUUUAAACAAUCGGGAAUUAAAGUUUACGGAAUGCGAUAAAAAUAAUUUGUAAUUAAAUCCGUGAUUCGCUGGCCUAGCAUAGUGAAUGUAAUUGUACUUCUGUGAGUGUGAAGGUGCAUUCUUACAAAUUCGAUUAAGAUGUAACUGUGACUUAUCGUUCAGCGUCAAGUAAUGUAACUGUGUUUAAGCUUUAGCUGAGAUUUACAUUUAGAUAGCGCAGACUUACCGUUCAGCUACAUCUUAAUCAAUUUAAUUCCAGCACCAGUUUGAAACGACUCCAAUUCGGUUGCACCAAAAUUAUUACUUCAACCAGUUAAUACUGUGUUGAUUUAACUAAAUCUUGGCACUUGUAAGAAAGAACAUAUUCAUUUAACAAAAAAGUUGCGUCCAAGUUUAGCUCUUCGGCCCAUGAAAUAUGUUGUCCUUGCUCCAACUAUAGCUGGCCGAACAGGUAAAAUUCGGUUUUUAGACAAAGACCAUCUUGCCUUAAUGGAAUCCAUACCCAUAACAAGUAUGCCGGAGUUUUCGUCUUUAAAUUUUUGAUGGCAUAACCAUCAAAAUUUGACAUCCUUCUUCUUCCUUCGCCUGUGGGUAAAUUGAUUUGAUUUAUUAUUUUCUAACUGUGUGCCAAUUUCAAAUGAAUCAGAAGGCCGUAGGACUUUUUCCUUUUCAGGUUAUGUGAUCGAUGGCAUUUAAAUAACUGAUGGCAUGUUUUUUCUAAUUUUGUGUCAAUUUCAGAUGAAUCAGAAGGCUGUAGGACUUUUGCCUGCUUUUUCUCGUGCUAUUUUUCAUGUUGUUAGGUUACAUACUGCAUACUUAACUCAUGGCAUUUUUUUCUUUCAGGUUAUGUGAUGGAAGUCAUUUAAAUAAGAAAUAGGCAUCUUCAUUUUGUAUUUCUUUUAAAAGAACUUGAAAUUUAUUUUGCAUUUAAGCAGCUGCGUCCGCCGCGUCCCGAGGUGGGACAAUGCGAGCCGCAACCAAGGGCGAGACCCACCUAGCUCGAGCGGCUGCUGAGCCGGCCAAGUGGUGAACCAACACGUUGCACGGGCACGUGCGCAGCCAGGCCAACCGGAGUCCCCCAAGGUCGCCACGUUCGAUGCCAGGCCAGGGAGCCGACACCGACUCCAUAGUCAUCACCAGGCCCUGCGCGGAUCUUGUAGAACUUCCAAACCAGUGCCCUCCCUCGCCAUGAAAAUCGUCGCGUGACCAACGCUUGCCGCUUGCCCGGAUCUGGCGCGCUAGCCAGAUCAGACGCCAAAGGGAGCGCCCACGAGCUCCGCAACCAAACGCCGGCGAGCAAGCACCGCACCAAUCGCCACGGCGACGAUGACCACAGGUGCACAGACACUUGCGCGUCCACCGUGGCGAGGCCUGUGGCAGCGGCGGAAGAGAGGAAACGCACGGGAGGGAUCUGCCAGCGACGCGCGUGGUGCCCCCCGGGUCGUUCGAGCUGAGCGGCGCGGGGUCGGGUCCCCCGCCUAUGACUCUUGUUCGAAGUACUUUGCUUAUAUUCAAUAAUAUGGCAUAUCAGCAUUGUUUAUUCAUUUGGAUUGUUAUUUGAUUAUUUGUGCAGCUACAUGGUGAACUGUGUAAGAAACUUUACACUAUAGUUCAUGAAGUUUCGAAUGCCAUCACUGCCCUUGAGAGUACAAGACCUGGAAGUAGUUCUGGAUUUCUGGUGUAGAGCUCCUUGCGCAUAGUUGUUGAUAAAGCCAAGAAUCUACUUCGGUAUUUCUGAGAGUAGCAAGAUUUACGUAUACUGAACAUUAUAUUUCUUUACAGAGAGAGUAAUUUUAAUGUGUAUGAAUAUGCUUGCUAUUUCCAAGUUUGAUAAGUAAAGUCUUACCAGACUAUGUAUACACGGACUGUACUUUUACUGCACUACUACAUUAUAUCCUGUUGUGAACAAAAUUAGGUUCCAGUUCCUUCCGCCC